rnacentral:rRNA from 1 species
UCAGGCCUAACACAUGCAAGUCGAACGGCAGCACGGACUUCGGUCUGGUGGCGAGUGGCGAACGGGUGAGUAAUGUAUCGGAACGUGCCCAGUAGCGGGGGAUAACUACGCGAAAGCGUAGCUAAUACCGCAUACGCCCUACGGGGGAAAGCAGGGGAUCGUAAGACCUUGCACUAUUGGAGCGGCCGAUAUCGGAUUAGCUAGUUGGUGGGGUAACGGCUCACCAAGGCGACGAUCCGUAGCUGGUUUGAGAGGACGACCAGCCACACUGGGACUGAGACACGGCCCAGACUCCUACGGGAGGCAGCAGUGGGGAAUUUUGGACAAUGGGGGAAACCCUGAUCCAGCCAUCCCGCGUGUGCGAUGAAGGCCUUCGGGUUGUAAAGCACUUUUGGCAGGAAAGAAACGUCAUGGGUUAAUACCCCGUGAAACUGACGGUACCUGCAGAAUAAGCACCGGCUAACUACGUGCCAGCAGCCGCGGUAAUACGUAGGGUGCAAGCGUUAAUCGGAAUUACUGGGCGUAAAGCGUGCGCAGGCGGUUCGGAAAGAAAGAUGUGAAAUCCCAGAGCUUAACUUUGGAACUGCAUUUUUAACUACCGGGCUAGAGUGUGUCAGAGGGAGGUGGAAUUCCGCGUGUAGCAGUGAAAU